rnacentral:rRNA from 1 species
GACGAACGCUGGCGGCGCGCCUAACACAUGCAAGUCGAACGAGCGAGAGAGAGCUUGCUUUCUCGAGCGAGUGGCGAACGGGUGAGUAACGCGUGAGGAACCUGCCUCAAAGAGGGGGACAACAGUUGGAAACGACUGCUAAUACCGCAUAAGCCCACGACCCGGCAUCGGGUAGAGGGAAAAGGAGCAAUCCGCUUUGAGAUGGCCUCGCGUCCGAUUAGCUAGUUGGUGAGGUAAAGGCCCACCAAGGCGACGAUCGGUAGCCGGACUGAGAGGUUGAACGGCCACAUUGGGACUGAGACACGGCCCAGACUCCUACGGGAGGCAGCAGUGGGGAAUAUUGCACAAUGGGGGGAAACCCUGAUGCAGCGACGCCGCGUGGAGGAAGAAGGUCUUCGGAUUGUAAACUCCUGUUGUUGAGGAAGAUAAUGACGGUACUCAACAAGGAAGUGACGGCUAACUACGUG